GUAAGGAAUAUUGGUCAAUGGACGCAAGUCUGAACCAGCCAUGCCGCGUGGAGGAUGAAGGUCCUCUGGAUUGUAAACUUCUUUUAUCUGGGACGAAAAAGGGCCUUUCCAGGCCAACUGACGGUACCAGAUGAAUAAGCACCGGCUAACUCCGUGCCAGCAGCCGCGGUAAUACGGAGGGUGCAAGCGUUAUCCGGAUUCACUGGGUUUAAAGGGUGCGUAGGUGGAUUGGUAAGUCAGUGGUGAAAUCUCCGAGCUUAACUCGGAAACUGCCAUUGAUACUAUCAGUCUUGAAUACCGUGGAGGUCAGUAGAAUAUGUCAUGUAGCGGUGAAAUGCUUAGAUAUGACAUAGAAUACCAAUUGCGAAGGCAGCUGGCUACACGAGCAUUGACACUCAGGCACGAAAGCGUGGGGAUCAAACAGGAUUAGAUACCCGAGUAGUCC
rnacentral:rRNA from 1 species